UUAUUAAUACAUUGAAAUUUGUAAUAUACAUUCUUCGUAGGAUAGAAUGAAGAGGCACUUGAGUACUUCUUACGUUGUGUGAUCUGCUCAGAUAAAUUAAGAGCUUGGUUUCAUUUGGAGAUAAUGGAAAAACACGUGUGAGCACGCAACGUAUACUAAAAUGGGUGAUUCAAAGACUCAACAUGGUACACAGGAGAUGAAAGGCUGGCUUUUUAAAUGGACUAAUUAUUUAAAAGGUUAUCAACGAAGGUGGUUCGUCCUGUCAAAUGGCCUACUGUCGUAUUACAGGGCUGAACCAACAGGGGGGCCAAAGA
rnacentral:misc_RNA from 1 species